GGGGGUGGGGCUUUCCAUUCAGCCCUUCGGUUUUUUUUCGCGGGAAGUCCCGGCUACUGUUGAUGAGGAAACUAAGGCUGAGCGAUAACUGACUGACCCAGAGUCACCCAGCAGAGUGUCUGGAGCGGGAUUCGAACUCGGGUCUUACUGACUCAAGUGUGGCACCCUGUCCAUCGGGCCAUCGCUUUCGUGCUCAGCCCAUGGAGGGACGUUCAGGGGGACCUUGUCUGGCCUGACCUUUGGAGAUCACUGGCAGCCGUGGCUCAGCCAUCACAUCUUCUGCUCCUUUCCUUGGGCUGGCAUGGAGUUCCUCUGGGCCUCAGGACUUAAACUCAUCAGAGUUCUGGCUUCUCAAGACUCUUGCCUUUCCCAAGAAAGGAGAAACAAGGAGGAGCAAGAAGAGGAGGGAAUGGCUUCUGGGGUCCUGACAACUAGGUCCCAGAUUUCCUGAUUCAGAAGAAAAGUCACAAAAUCAAGCAAUCAACUCCAAAACAGGUUAUUUCUGCAGGAGAAUCACUGAAGGAACAAAUCAAGGAUGGUUCUUGGGAUUGUUAUGUCAGGCUAGAGAGGCAGAAGGAUAAGCAGGAAAGACAAUCUAGGCAAGUAACAGUCAGUAACAGAAAAAUAUUUAACAAAGCAAGUGUGCAUAAAUAUAAUACAUUUGGGAAAAAGUUCAGAAUGGGAUCCAUCCUUGUUCCGCAGCAAGGAGGUCUUAAAGGAGACUGUCUCCACAAGGUUGGUACAUUUGGAAAGAGCUUCAAACAACGUUCAUAACCAAUUAACCAUAAGAGAAUCUCCUUGUGGAAGAAACUCUAUAAGUAUAAUAAAUGCAGGAAGCGCUUUAGUUACUACUCACAUUUGAAUCGUUACCAUAAAAUACACAUUCAAGGGAAACUUUGUAAAUGUAAUGAAUGUGUCAAAACCUUCAGGAUCAAUUUAUCCUUUAAUCUGCAUAAAAGAAUUAAUGUUUUAGAGAAAUCCUACAGAUGUAUUCAGUGUAGGAAAAUCUUUAGCAAGAAGGGACAUUUUAAAACACAUAAGAUAAUUCAUAAUGACAAGAAAUUAUUCAAAUGUAAUAAAUGUAGAAAAGCCUUUAGCGGUAAUGAAUACCUAACUCAACAUCAAAUGAUUCAUAAGGCAAAUAAACCUUGUAAGUGUAAUGAACGUGAAAAAGUCUUUAGCAAUAAUCCAUAUCCAACUCGACAUGUAACGAUUCGUAAUGGAGAGAAACCUUCUAAGUGUAGUGAAUGUGGGAAGGCCUUCAGCCAAAAGGGAA